rnacentral:rRNA from 1 species
UACAGAGGUGGCAAGCGUUGUUCGGAAUUACUGGGCGUAAAGGGCGCGUAGGCGGUCUUGUAAGUCUCGUGUGAAAUCCCUCGGCUUAACUGAGGAACUGCACGUGAUACUGCUUGACUUGAGUUCGGGAGAGGGAAGCGGAAUUCCGGGUGUAGCGGUGAAAUGCGUAGAUAUCCGGAGGAACACCGGUGGCGAAGGCAGCUUCCUGGACCGACACUGACGCUGAGGCGCGAAAGCGAGGGGAGCAAACGGG